CUUUCCAAAGAUGGAUGCAAAUGCUGGGAAAGCAAGAGUUGAAUUGCUAGCCAUGAGGAAAACGUAAGCCUGAGCUGUUUGCUGGCCAUCUUUGCUUCCACAUGGGGAUGGCCUGCCUGGAAAUGAAGCCACACAGAGAAAACAGAAGAGCAGUGAAGAGAAGGGUAAAAGGAGAGAUCCCAUGACAUGAUUUGCACUCUUAGAUCCAGUUAUGCCUGAUGCAGGACCCACCCCUUGGACUUCCCAUUUCCAGGAGCUAAAACUAGACUGAGUUGAGUUUCUGUCACUGACAGUUGACAGAAAAUAUCAACAAUCCAGCCACAUGGAGCCUCAUGGCAGUACCACUAACCCUGGUCACCACAUGAAUACUGACCAGAGGCAUUUCACCUGAAUCAACUGUUUGUGUUCUUAACUCCAUCUCCUCAUCUGCUUCCUGGAAGACCCAACUGACAUAGAUGGUUACAAGAAAUGAUUUCCUCCUUAUAAAACUCUAGAUGUCAAUGUGAUCUUUCACAAGCACACUGAAAAAUUCACACCGUGGAAAAGAACUAAAGUCCCAUCCUAAUUCAUCAGAGCCUUCUGUUUCCUGUAACAAAGAAGAACUCACAAGAUCAGGAUUCCAAGGCAAACAAGAAUGAAAUGAUAACAGGCACAUCCACUGAAGCAAAACAGGUCACUGGAAGAAGAUAAUAUACUGAAGGACAAAUAAAAGUCAAGUGUAGCUGGGCCCAGAAUGGGUAGGUGAAAAUGUGUGGGAAGGAGAGAAGGCAUGUCCUUUUUCAUAAAACAGAUUUUUUUUGUUUUUUUUAAGACAGGGUCUCAUUCUGUCACCCAGGCUGGAGUCUGGUGGCACAAUCGCGACCCACUGCAGCCUCAACUUUCUGGGCUCAAGCAAUCCUCCCAGCGCAGCCUCCCAAGAAGCUGGACUGCAGGCAUGCACCACCAUGCCUGGCUAAUUUUUUUAUACAGAUAGGGUCUCACUAUGUUGCCCCGGCUGGUUGUAAACUCCUGGACUCAAGCCACCCUUCUGCCUUAGCCUCCCAAAGUGCUGGGAUUAUGAGCAUAAGCCACAGUGCCUGGCCAUAGAAAGGCUUUAAAAAUAUUAGCAAUGUGAAACAUGCACACUUGUGUGGUUUUAGUAUCUUCUUUGCCAUUUUGGCUGCCUGUACAAGAUGGGUACUCCAUAAGAUAUGGAAGCAAGCUUUUGAAAAGGUACUUUAAGAUAUAGUAUAAAAUGAUAAACUGGGCACGGUGGCUCACACCUG
rnacentral:lncRNA from 1 species